rnacentral:rRNA from 1 species
UACGUAGGGUGCAAGCGUUUGUCCGGAAUUAUUGGGCGUAAAGAGCUCGUAGGCGGUCUGUCGCGUCUGCUGUGAAAACUCGGGGCUUAACCCCGGGCCUGCAGUGGGUACGGGCAGACUAGAGUGCGGUAGGGGAGACUGGAAUUCCUGGUGUAGCGGUGAAAUGCGCAGAUAUCAGGAGGAACACCGGUGGCGAAGGCGGGUCUCUGGGCCGUAACUGACGCUGAGGAGCGAAAGUGUGGGGAGCGAACAGG